CACAGCCCUUCUUUUGUUGAUCCUUUUUUGACGCGCAGUAGCGUGUAGCUUGCACCAGCCGGACUGUGCACGAAGUUUGAAUAGUAGCAUACAGUGAUGAACAAAAUUGUUGGCACAUAACAUCCUAUUUUCUAUAAACUUAUGUGUGAAUUUGGGAAAACACGAUUCUUUGCUCAACGUUCUUGUGAAAUACGCUGCGUAACUAUAGAACUAAAAUCUUGAAUACAUAAAUUGUUAGGUACGAGAUGAAAGAUAGAACAGGGUAAGAUCUGAUCAAAAUCGUUGCAAAAUUAUAGUUAGACUUACGACAAUUUCAUUUUAUUGUAUCCUGAGCUCAAUUUUUGUAAAACCAAAUAUUCUAUUAUGUCGGUGCUGUUGUUCUAAAAUAGAAAUAAACUAGUUUCUAUCUUUUUUCUCUUUCUUGUUUUCUUUAGUCUAUCGUUUAAUCCAUUGUUUUUGCGGGAAAAAAGAAUAAAUUGUUUCUAAAUACAAAAUAUGUACUUCUUUCUUUAUCACAUCAACGUAUAAGGAUAUGUAGAGCAGUAUAAAAAAAUUGAAUGUUAUUAAAUGGUUUUAUAAUUACGAAAUGCACUGUAUGAGAAGUAGGAUUUGGAAACGGUUGAUCAAUUUAAGAAGUAUUUUCAUGUCAGAAAUAUUUCAAUAUAAAAUAGCUGUAGAAAUAAAUAACUCGAUAGAUUCGAAGAUAUAAGAUUUUUGAAAAAUAUUUGAUUGUUAUGUUUCUUUAACUUAUUUUAUAAUAUUAGUUUGCAUAACUAAUGUUAUUGAUAUAACUUAUAAAGGCAACUCGUUGUACAUUUUUUAUUAUUUUAUUAUUUUUUACUAUUCAUUUUUAUAGCACAGCUGCUUAAUGAAUUUUGACGAUGCAAUAAAAAAGAAUUGAAAAAGGAACCCUCGUAAGAAGCCGCUAUCACCGUUUGCCAAGUUUCGUGAACUCGACAGACAAAAUAGCGCCGCCUCGUCACCCAGAACGUGCAAUUGGAUAAUUUCUCGACGAGCUGGAACAAUGGAUUGGCGUUUUGUGCUUUGCU